rnacentral:rRNA from 1 species
CCUACGGGCGGCAGCAGUGGGGAAUAUUGCACAAUGGGGGAAACCCUGAUGCAGCGACGCCGCGUGAGUGAAGAAGUAUUUCGGUACGUAAAGCUCUAUCAGCAGGGAAGUAAAUGACGGUACCUGACUAAGAAGCCCCGGCUAACUACGUGCCAGCAGCCGCGGUAAUACGUAGGGGGCAAGCGUUAUCCGGAUUUACUGGGUGUAAAGGGAGCGUAGACGGCAGCGCAAGUCUGGAGUGAAAUCCCAUGGCUUAACCAUGGAACUGCUUUGGAAACUGUGCAGCUAGAGUGCAGGAGAGGUAAGCGGAAUUCCUAGUGUAGCGGUGAAAUGCGUAGAUAUUAGGAGGAACACCAGUGGCGAAGGCGGCUUACUGGACUGUAACUGACGUUGAGGCUCGAAAGCGUGGGGAGCAAACAGGAUUAGAUACCCCUGUAGUC